UCCGGUUGAUCCUGCCAGAGGCCGCUGCUAUCCGGCUGGGACUAAGCCAUGCUAGUCUAGGGGCUUGUACUCCUUCAGGGGUGCAAGCACCGGCGGACGGCUCAGUAACACGUGGACAACCUGCCCUCGGGUGGGGGAUAACCCCGGGAAACUGGGGCUAAUCCCCCAUAGGUGAUGGGUGCUGGAAUGCCCCAUCUCCGAAAGCGCUUAGCGCCCGAGGAUGGGUCUGCGGCGGAUUAGGUAGUUGGUGGGGUAACGGCCCACCAAGCCUAAGAUCCGUACGGGCUGUGGGAGCAGGAGCCCGGAGAUGGACCCUGAGACAAGGGUCCAGGCCCUACGGGGCGCAGCAGGCGCGAAACCUCCGCAAUGCGGGAAACCGCGACGGGGUUAGCCGGAGUGCCCGUGCAUUGCACGGGCUGUCGGGGUGCCUAAACAGCACCCCAUAGCAAGGGCCGGGCAAGGCCGGUGGCAGCCGCCGCGGUAAGACCGGCGGCCCGAGUGGCGGCCACUCUUAUUGGGCCUAAAGCGUCCGUAGCCGGCCCAGUAAGUCCCCCAGGAAAUCUGGUCUCUUAACGAUCAGACUUCCGGGGGAUACUGCUG
rnacentral:rRNA from 1 species